rnacentral:rRNA from 1 species
GACGAACGCUGGCGGCGUGCUUAACACAUGCAAGUCGAACGGAAAGGCCCUGCUUUUGUGGGGUGCUCGAGUGGCGAACGGGUGAGUAACACGUGAGUAACCUGCCCUUGACUUUGGGAUAACUUCAGGAAACUGGGGCUAAUACCGGAUAGGAGCUCCUGCUGCAUGGUGGGGGUUGGAAAGUUUCGGCGGUUGGGGAUGGACUCGCGGCUUAUCAGCUUGUUGGUGGGGUAGUGGCUUACCAAGGCUUUGACGGGUAGCCGGCCUGAGAGGGUGACCGGCCACAUUGGGACUGAGAUACGGCCCAGACUCCUACGGGAGGCAGCAGUGGGGAAUGUUGCACAAUGGGCGGAAGCCUGAUGCAGCGACGCCGCGUGCGGGAUGACGGCCUUCGGGUUGUAAACCGCUUUCGCCUGUGACGAAGCGUGAGUGACGGUAAUGGGUAAAGAAGCACCGGCUAACUACGUG